UACAGAGGUCUCAAGCGUUGUUCGGAUUCAUUGGGCGUAAAGGGUGCGUAGGCGGCGCGGUAAGUCGGGUGUGAAAUCGUUGGAGCUUAACUCCGAAACUGCAUUCGAUACUGCCGUGCUUGAGGACUGGAGAGGAGACUGGAAUUUACGGUGUAGCGGUGAAAUGCGUAGAUAUCGUAAGGAAGACCAGUGGCGAAGGCGGGUCUCGUGGACAGUUCCUGACG
rnacentral:rRNA from 1 species